GACGAACGCUGGCGGCGUGCUUAACACAUGCAAGUCGAGCGAGGAAGUUCUUUCGGGAAUUUCCUAGCGGCGGACGGGUGAGUAACACGUGGGCAACCUGCCUGAUAGAGGGGGAUAGCCUCCCGAAAGGGAGAUUAAUACCGCAUAAAGUCAAAUGAAGGCAUCUUCAAAUGACCAAAGGAGUAAUCCGCUAUCAGAUGGGCCCGCGGCGCAUUAGCUAGUUGGUGAGGUAACGGCUCACCAAGGCGACGAUGCGUAGCCGACCUGAGAGGGUGAUCGGCCACAUUGGGACUGAGACACGGCCCAGACUCCUACGGGAGGCAGCAGUGGGGAAUAUUGCACAAUGGGGGAAACCCUGAUGCAGCAACGCCGCGUGAGUGAUGAAGGCCUUCGGGUUGUAAAGCUCUGUCUUCAGGGACGAUAAUGACGUACCUGAGGAGAAGC
rnacentral:rRNA from 1 species